UUCAGACAAAAAAAGCAAUUUUUCUUCAAAGACUUUCUAGUCAACUUUUUAUUGCCACUCAAGCAUGGACUGAUGAAGAAAGUAGCUAAGGGCUCUGGAAUCAGAGUUACUCUUCUUACUAAGUAGGUGUGGAAGUGGAACAACCAACAACAAAAGUGAAAGGCUGUUUGAUGGGGGAGUGUCAAGUGGCAGGUGUGAAGAAUAACUGUCCCGGCUUUGUGAGCACUCCUGGGUGGGAGAGAAAUGAGCAUUAACAAUGUAGUGGAAAACAAAU